CAGGAACUUACUAAGCAGAUGUGACAGACAGUGCUGAGGGCAGGAAUGUAGGUUGAUAGGUGUCAGUUAGGUGCAGUUGCUCUGUCUAUAGCCAUUCCCAAGUUGACAGGUGCUCUGGCCUUGGGGAUAGGGUAGACUUUUUUUUUUUUUUUUUUUUUUUUUUUGCACUUGUCCCUGUGUGCCAUAGUCCAACAGAAGAUGCAGCUUUUCGGAUCUGUCACAUCCAGCUGUAUGCUGUGUGCCCCCGCUCUCAUUUACUGGGGACCACAACGAGCUUGGUUCUGGGUUAUGUGCUUCAUAGCAGCCACAAACAGCAGGCUUUCCCAGCCCUCUACUCCCUAUCGUAGGCAAGCAUGACAGUGCUGUAGAGAGGUUAGUGAUGUGUCCAAGGUCAGAGUUACACACCAGAGCCCAAAUUUAAGACCAAGCUAGUGCGGCUCCAAAGUCUGUGACAUCAUGGAAAACAGACCCCUCGAGGAAUGUGAGAAAUGUGACCUGGUCCUUUAGCUCAAGCCUCUCCUCUCAGCCUUUCUCAGCCAUCUAUCUGCCUUUGACAUACACAAUGGCCCUUUAGACUGUCAAGAGGAUCUGGAAGCAGGAAGUGAUUGGGGGACAUGCUGCAGAGAGUCCUUGCCACCCCCCCCACAACACACACACCCGGCAGUCUCCACCUUUAUGAUACCUCUGGGUGGGCGUCAGGGAGAACCCCAGCCAUGGAAGACAGCUUAGAUCUACUUGGAAAAGGUCCAUCCCAGGAGAAGACAGUCCUUGGCUACGGCGAAUUGGAGAUGUACUUGGAUUCAGUGGAUACAGAUCACAGAAGGACUUGGAAAUAUCAAAACCUGUUGUACAGCAUUUGGGAACACUUGGAGCUCUGGAAAGUUGGCCACUGAAAAGCACCGCAGUGGCUCCCCGGAAUCUCCUUAGCACUGAGAGGCUGGAGCUAUGGACACUCCUUUCAGACAGGCUUGUGAUGUCACGGAUCUUCUGCCGCCAGAUCCUGAUCUCAGUUUUGAGUGCAGUAUAUGCUUUUGCACAUGACUUUAGGGCAGAUAGGGAUGGAAGGUGGAGUUUUUGUCUUUUGAGGAUUCAGGCUUUACCUCUAGAUAUCAGUGUGGUUAAGAUUUGAAAAUCUAUAGUAAGACAAUAUUACUUUGGGGAAACCAUCACAUGGAGAUAAAGGCUCCCAUUCUCAUGG